UUCUGAGGAGAAUUUCACUAGAGAUGCAGAGCAGAUUCCUAGCACUGAUAGACUGUUGGGAUUUGGAAGAGAAGUGGCUUUUGUCUUUUUGGUCAGCUGUGUUACAGGUAGAAGACAAGAUAACGAUGUUCAGAGUGCCAGCUGCUGUUACUGGUAAUACUCUGUUGUCUGAUUCUGGACUUGAAUAGAUACUCACUGUGCUGGGAGCUUCAGAUUCUUUUGAGAGAGUUAGAACAGCUGGGACUCAAAAUGUUCCAGUCUCAGGGUACAGCUGUUGGAUCCUAAGUUGCUAGUGUGUUCCUUUUUGCACGUCCAGUUUAGAAGCACAACAGGUUUCUUUAUUUACAAGAGGAGGUGGCCAGCUACUGGGCAGUCACAUUUCAAACCUCACCGACAGUGAUGGAGUCAGAUGAGGACAUGUCAGACUCAUUUGGGAAUGUGUAAGAACUUACAGUUAUUACCACGUUACAGCAUGCAAGGCCGAUACCAAUCCAUCCAUCCAUUGAAGACAAUGAAAAUGUGCUCAACCACUUCUGGCAGAGUCUGACAUUGAGGACCAAGGUGGAAACCAGGAUGAUGAUGAUGGUGAUAAGAAUGGACCAGGACCAACACAUGGCAUCCUUCUAGUGGACUGACAGUGACCACUUCUCCACCACACUAGCCAGAUGACCUGAGGGACUAGAUCUGUGAUGCCAUCAUUGAUGUCUUCCAGACUCAGAUGAGGGACAUGAUGGGCCAGUUCUUCCAGGAUAUGGCAAGGGCCACACACAACAUUUUCCAGGAGAUUGCUCAGGAGAUCUUUUGAGACAUUUAACUCCUUCAGGGAGGGUCCUGUGGGUUGUAAGUAUUGCCUUUGUGAUCCAGUCAUGAUGUGUUUCUAUUUGGCUAUAUUUUAUUAUUAAGCACACAUUUGUGCACGCAUCCCAUACUGCAGUCAUGCUUGUAAGAUGUACAGCGCUAUUUGACUUGUCUGUGGCUAUAUAUUAUCACUGAAUUAUGACACUUGUUAAAAUAUGUCACAGAUAUUGUCAUCAUGGUGCCAUGUGAUCAUCAGACAUCAGAUGAUGACAUACAUGUAGACAGUGUAACGGACAAUCCGGACAGGUAUUCCUGCAAUCUGUAUGUGGCUUGCCUCAUCUGCAUGUGGUGGACCAUGACAUUGUUAUAUCAGAUCAAGUCUGCCCUUGUAUGUGACAGAUAUAUCUGACACAGAUAGCAUUCUGCCACUGUGACACACUUGUCUUGCUGGCAUUGCUACUUUCAUUUUAUUUUCAAACCUCUCACUGUUUUAACAUCAAGAAUAUACCAUAAAAUAA